GACGAACGCUGACGGCGUGCUUAACACAUGCAAGUCGAACGGAAAGGCCCUGCUUGCAGGGUACUCGAGUGGCGAACGGGUGAGUAACACGUGGGUGAUCUGCCCUGCACUUCGGGAUAAGCCUGGGAAACUGGGUCUAAUACCGGAUAGGAGCCAUUUUUAGUGUGAUGGUUGGAAAGUUUUUUCGGUGUAGGAUGAGCUCGCGGCCUAUCAGCUUGUUGGUGGGGUAAUGGCCUACCAAGGCGGCGACGGGUAGCCGGCCUGAGAGGGUGGACGGCCACAUUGGGACUGAGAUACGGCCCAGACUCCUACGGGAGGCAGCAGUGGGGAAUAUUGCACAAUGGGCGCAAGCCUGAUGCAGCGACGCCGCGUGGGGGAUGACGGCCUUCGGGUUGUAAACUCCUUUCGCUAGGGACGAAGCUUUUGUGACGGUACCUAGAUAAGAAGCACCGGCUAACUACGUG
rnacentral:rRNA from 1 species